AUUGAACGCUGGCGGCAGGCCUAACACAUGCAAGUCGAACGAGUGGCGGACGGGUGAGUAAUGUCUGGGAAACUGCCCGAUGGAGGGGGAUAACUACUGGAAACGGUAGCUAAUACCGCAUACUAUCAGAUGUGCCCAGAUGGGAUUAGCUAGUUGGUGGGGUAAAGGCUCACCAAGGCGACGAUCCCUAGCUGGUCUGAGAGGAUGACCAGCCACACGUGAACUGAUACACGGUCCAGACUCCUACGGGAGGCAGCAUUGGGGAAUAUUGCGCAAUGGGCGCAAUCCUGAUGCAGCCAUGCCGCGUGGAUGAAGAAGGCCUUCGGGGUGUAAAGUACUUUCAGCGGGGAGGCGUUACCCGCAGAAGAAGCACCGGCUAACUCCGUGCCAGCAGCCGCGGUAAUAC
rnacentral:rRNA from 1 species